rnacentral:lncRNA from 1 species
GUUACAGAAAGGAAAGUGUUUAAGUCUAAAGAAAUGAAAAUUACAUAUUCUCUUGUUCGAGAGUUUUGGAUUCGGUCUUUUGCUUCUACGCCUUUUCUCCCUUUUAUACCUCAUAGACGAUCUCUUUGUGAUUAACUACUCUGAAAACUGCUUGAUCGUCCUACAACUACCCACUUUCUUUGUAGUGGCCAUUUUGUCAUGAAAUCGCCUUUUAACUGCUGUCAUUAUCUUUCAUCGUCCAACUGCCUUCGAUUGACUUCCUUGAGUUGUGGAACGUGAUAAGGCUGCUUUAACAACUGCCUUGAUAACUGCAUUCCUUGAUAAUUACGAUGCGUUAUGUUUGUUGACACCUUAGGCGACUUGAAGGUUUGGGCGAGAGUAGAAUAACAGCUCUGGGCGACCGUAUGACACCCGUUCGUUCAGAUUCUGAGCGACUUGCAAACUUGGGCGAUGGCAUUACCGCAUUCUUGGGCCUCUUGUUUGGGCCUUCAACUUGACUCGUUUGAUUGAACUUCAUUCUUUGGGCCGUCUGUUUUGGGGAUUCUCCAAUUGGGCUUUACUCCUUGGGCUGUUCGACUUGGGCUGAAUUUUUAUGUGUCAACAAUAAUGGAGGCUUACUCUUUCUCCAUUUUUAUACGCUACAACCAUACUUCUCUAUUUCUCCACACUAUCUCUUUCACCAUUUUCUCAUGAUAUUAACCGUGUAUCUUUAGAAAGUUUAUUUUUUAGCACAUAAGUAAGUUUAAAUAAAAACAUUAUGUUUAUAUAUGUACGUAAAAGGUAUAUAGUAACCAUUUGGAUUACGAAAAAUAAUUUCAAUCAAAAUGUUUACGAACCGUUUAAAUAAUAAUUUAUUGAGGGGGUUAAUUCAAGAGCAAAAGUGUGAAUUCCAUAAAUAUAUGAUUGAAAAUAUGUUUGAAGAAAAAUAAAAUUAAAACCAAAUAUGUUAACAAAUGAAUAUAUUUAUUUUUCGAGAAAUGAGUUUUUAUUAUUAUUUCAUUUUAAAUCAUAAAAUGAUUCUAAUUUUAAUAUGUUAGAUUGUGCUUCAAAAUUACAUAAUCUAUCAAAUAUAAUUUUUAAAAUUAAUUUUUAUAAAGUAAUAUGUUUUUAUGAUUUUUUUUUUUNUGUUUCGCGCGGGUUAACUCGCUAACAAUUAAAGGGGAUCAGACGAUUGUGUAAGGGACGAAACCUCUUGAGACAAAGUCCCAAAAAGGGGUGUUCUUUUAUUGGCGAUGAACUUUACAAUUGGAAACGAAAAACAACGUGCCUCCAAGGGGCGCAAGCACACGAGUUACAGAAAGGAAAGUAUUUAAGUCUAAAAGCUAAAGAAAUGAAAAUUACAUAUUCUCUUGUUCGAGAGUUUUGGAUUCGGUCCUUUGCUUCUACGCCUUUUCUCCCUUUUAUACCUCAUAGACGAUCUCUUUGUGAUUAACUACUCUGAAAACUGCUUGAUCGUCCUAUAACUACCCACUUUCUUUGUAGUGGCCAUUUUGUCAUGAAAUCGCCUUUUAACUGCUGUCAUUAUCUUUCAUCGUCCAACUGCCUUCGAUUGACUUCCUUGAGUUGUGGAACGUGAUAAGGCUGCUUUAACAACUGCCUUGAUAACUGCAUUCCUUGAUAAUUACGAUGCGUUAUGUUUGUUGACACCUUAGGCGACUUGAAGGUUUGGGCGAGAGUAGAAUAACAGCUCUGGGCGACCGUAUGACACCCGUUCGUUCAGAUUUUGAGCGACUUGCAAACUUGGGCGAUGGCAUUACCGCAUUCUUGGGCCUCUUGUUUGGGCCUUCACCUUGACUCGUUUGAUUGAACUUCAUUCUUUGGGCUGUCUGUUUUGGGGAUUCUCCAAUUGGGCUUUACUCCUUGGACUGUUCGACUUGGGCUGAAUUUUUAUGUGUCAACAGCAUCUCUUGUUCAUGUUGUAAAUUUUGUUCGUGCAAUUAUUGUGUACAUCUUUUGUUCAUGUUGUAAAUUUUGUUUGUGGAAUUAUUGUGUACGAGAACAUUUACCCAAAACUCGCACAUUACAAUCACUCUUAUUUACAUUUCAGUGAAUUCUGAAGCUUUUUAACAUUUAUCUAAAAACUUAG